UACGAAGGGGGCUAGCGUUGCUCGGAAUCACUGGGCGUAAAGCGCACGUAGGCGGAUGACUAAGUCGGGGGUGAAAGCCCAGGGCUCAACCCUGGAAUUGCCUUCGAUACUGGUCGUCUCGAGUUCGGAAGAGGUUGGUGGAACUGCGAGUGUAGAGGUGAAAUUCGUAGAUAUUCGCAAGAACACCAGUGGCGAAGGCGGCCAACUGGUCCGACACUGACGCUGAGGUGCGAAAGCGUGGGGAG
rnacentral:rRNA from 1 species